UGGUGGAAGGUUUAACGGGACCGAUUUCUGGAACAUUCGGGAUUGCGGCACCCUACGGCCAGACCGAGAUUUGGGUCUGCGCAAGCGACGAUGGGUGGUCCGAUGGGCUUCAGGACUUGAUGGCGUAACCCCCUUCUUCCCCCACGUACGUAUUUGCUGGGAUCGGGGGCGAUGUCUCUGCGUAUGUGGGUGCUCUGUCUUUCUCACCUUCUUUCUCGCUUUUUGCUAUUUUUUCUCUGAGAGAGGGUUGUUUUUUUUUUUUUUUUCCACUUUAAUUUCUUUUCUCUUAGUGUCAGCUGCUCAAGCCUGACCAGGGUAGAGGAGAGAGGAGCAAGCUGCCCUGGCGUCCCACCUGACCUCCCAGCCUUUGCCCCCAUUUCCUUCUACUGGACAGACAGACAGACUGGUUUUCCAGGUUGUUUGGGUGUCAGCGUCUGUCUGUCCGUCCAUGCGAUUCUUAGGUGGAAGGUAGGGAGUGAGGAGGAGAGGUGCUGGGAGGAAAGUGAAAGGCACAGUUUUCCAGGGGUUGCCUAAUUGAAAUGUUCGGCCCCGGGCACCUGGGGUUUGUGGGGAGCAGGUGGGCAGGCUGGGGCGUGGGUUGGGCGAAGUGGGGUAAAGCUGCUAGGUUUGUCACUGCGUAGUUGGGAAAAGUGGGGAAUGGUGACGCAGUCACUGUUGCAUCUUGUUAGGAGCUCCAGAGGGACAGGUAGUGAGGCUCCCGGCAUCGGUAGGGCCAGCUGAGAGGGGUUAAGGAUGAGCUGAGAAGGGAAGCGAGCAUUUAGAGAUUAAAUGUCAUCCUUUUGGCGUUGGAAAGUUGUUUACCUUGCGCUCUCUGUGUCUCCAUGUUGGCACCCUUCCAGUUCACAUGUGAUGGCCUUCCUUGUACUGCUGCAUCAUUAACUAAGUGACUGAGCUGGCCUUCCAUUGGCCAGGGGAGGGCUCUCACUCCAGACCUUUCUUCUGAUUGGUGGGUGGGCCAAUGGCAGGUGAAAACCUUUUUUUGAUUGGCUGAGGGCAGGGUAUCAAAUCUGAAUUUGCAUUUCACUUGCUUAAAGGGGAGUGGGGAGAAGCCCAGCAGCUUUCUAAAAUCUGUUUAGGGGUGUGCGUAUGCCCCUGUGUCCGUGCCUGCUUUUGACUGACCAGUUAAAGCCUUUUCCUAUGCCUCUUUUAUUUCAUGCACUCUGAGGAAGAGGAGCUCAGGGUUCCCCAAACUUUUUUUUGAGGGAGGAAGGGCUGGAGAGAUGGGUGCGCAGAGAGUCGACCAAACUGGAAGGAAAUAUUUGUCCUUUAGUUUGGUGUCGGAAAAGGGAGUUUUCAGUCUGCCACACCUCAGUGUUGCGGCAAAAUAAUUCUUGGCUCCCCUGGAAACGCACGGGCAAGGUAGGACAGAGCUGCUGCGGCUGACAACCACCACCACCAUGGGCUUCCUGCUGCCUCUGGGCUACUCCCCGGGGGCCAGAGAUUUGCAUUGACCGGGCUGUGCAGAGCUGAGCCCAGUGUAGGAAGGACCUGCCUUCUGGAAGCUGCUGCUCCCUGGUGCUGGGAAAGGUGAGGACGGGAAGCGACCCCAGGAGGUUGCUCGGAAACUGCGUAUUUGGUGGGAUUUCCAGGAAAGCCACUGGGCCAUGAGAGGUGUGGAGGUCCCAGGUUAGAAAGGUUUGUCGUUCUGGGGAGUGAGGAGAGUGAGAGCAAAACUAGGGCAGCAGGCUGUUCGCCUGUGUCUGGGGGAGGGACACUUGAAAAAAUCAGGGUCCUGGCUCCCCAUUGGGUCCUUGUGGCAGGUCUCGUGUUUGUGGGGAGGGGGUUUCUGAGGCCUGCACCUUGCGCAGUGGCCCCCACCCGUGACUGCGCAUCCGGGAACGCAGUGCGCCCUGGGUCGCUGGCCUAGGACAGCACCGCCCUUUUUAUUACAUAACGGAGGCACGGCUGUGCCUUCUCGGCCCUUCUUUGCAACCCUGCCUCCUGGCUCCCCAGGGCCCACGGAGCUGGGGAGGGUCUGGUUGGGAGCAGUGGAAGACUUUGCUCCCUCGGAGGGUUAGCUCUUGUCCAGUCAGUGGUAGGAGCUAGGUUUGAAGACAGAAAUGGGCUGCUGUCCCCCUUGGGGUAUGGAACGCAGAAUGUCCUUCUGGAUGCCCUGUGUCACCCAUGGCCCCCAGGACUUCUCAGGGGCAUGGGGUGAUGCCCUUCUUUCCCUCUUACGCUCUCUGGGUUUUGAGAGGAAGUUUCUGAUAGGAAAGACGUGCCAAUUGUAAGAGUGAGGAAGGGUGGGGUGGGGGGCGCCCAGUUGGGAGGUGGUUGACAGUUCAUUCCCCUUGUCACUGGCUUCCCUUUCCUUGGGUGGGUUGAUAAUAUUUUUGGACUCCCUUUUAUCCUAAGGCUGCCAUUUUGGAGGCAUUUCUGCUGGUCUCUGACAUGGUGGCGUUGGUUUUUCUGGUCCUGCUGUGCCAGUUCCGCAGAGUGGGCGGGGGGCGGGGGCUAUGACGGAGGAGGGGAAGGGGGGGUAAAAGCGCAGCAGAGGCGGGUACAGUGGUGGCUGCCGCAGUGAAGGUGGCCCCAGGGGCAGGACCGCCCAGUCCCACCCUCGGACACAGCCUUGGGUUGGGGGUUCCACCGCCUGGGGUGUGGGCUUGGCCAGAGGGUGGGCGUUGCUAACAGAAGGCCUGAGUCUCCCAUGCCCUCCUCGGCUCGAGGCUUAAAGCAGUCCAGAGAAAAAGCUGAGUUUUUUGGGGGGAGAGUGAAGGCAGAGACACGGCUGCUCAUCUGAGAUGUGUCGGACCUGUGGUUUGUGUUCCCCAAAUAGGCUCUGUCUCCAGCAGUCUCUCUAUGGGGACGGAGGCGGGGGGUGGGGUCCAAGGCAGAUUUGUUCGAUAGCCCUCCCUUUUUAUUGUUUUUAUUCUCUGCUCCUCGUCAUGCCCCCUGCCAGUGCCAUGGUUCCAGCUGUAGUCCUCCAGUGAGGCUCCCUGCUGCCCGUCCCUCUCCUCUCCAGGCCCUUCUGCGUGCAGCGGCCAUCUUGUCUUUUCUUGCUUAGAAAUUUAAAAUGGUUUCUCAUCGUUUCCAGAGUAAAAUUCCUUCCCUUUAGCACAGUGCCGAAGGCUGGCUAUAACCAGCCUUAGCUCUCCUAUUCAGUCUGACUUCUCUGCGUUUCCCUAGGUGGACCACGUAUUCCAGCAAAACCAGGCAACUUACUUUUUCUUGCUUUUCCGAUUUCCCUGUUUGCACCACUGGUAUUUUCCAUGACUCUUUGGCUCUACCGCACCCACCUGCGGCAGCUCCGCCAUCCUCCAUGGGCCUUUGCGGAUCCCCUUCACGAGAAGCAAUCCUCGUAACCACCCCUUGCUUCCUUCGGCCAAGGUCUCAUACACUUCCUCCUUCUCGGAUGCUACUUUGGUUAUCUUCUGGCUCUUUGUGUGUACCACGUCAGGCUCUUUCUCGGAGCUUAUUUCAUGUAUUGCUUUACCGCAACGCUGCGAGGAGAAUCCCAUGGCUGCUGCAAUUGGUGGAUUAACAAACCUCAGUCAUCCUGGUUACCUUCUUCCUAGAGGAGGAGGUGGAGAUGGGAUGGUUGUAGCACCUUCAGAACAGAAUGAGCUCCAGAACCCAGAAUCACUGGAGCUCAUACAAGGCAGGGAGCAGAGCCUCCGUUUGCAUCUUGACCCUGCCUCGUCUUGCUGGCUUCGCGACCUCAGUCAGUGACAUGGAGCCACCAUAAUCUACUACACAGAAAUGCCUAAUAUAUUGCCAAGCAGAUAGGAUCCCUGCAGAAAGUGAAGCACCUCCCUUUCCCCUGCCCAACUGUCUUAUUGGGGCCUUAAGAAGGGAACAUAGCAGGUGGCUGGAGAAGGAAUGGGGGGAAGGGAGCUUGCGUGCCUUCAGUGAUAUCGGAAGCAGAGGCAGAGGAGGAGGUAACCAGGCAGUACGCACCUGAAGCCUGCGAGGGGACGCCUUUCCCCCACCUGGAGUAAAGACCCCUUUAACGUCUGCGUCGGGAGAAAUGCCGUGGGAGCGGAGCCGUGAGGCCAGGGCAGGCGGUGGCAGGGUGAGGGUUAACCUGUGGUCCUUCCUGGGAGCCUUGUGAUGCCAGCUUAGUUUCCCUUCUUUCUGAAUGGCAGUGGUGGCUGCCUGCUUCCUGACGCCGUUGCAUCCCGUGGGAGGGGAGUUGGGCACCCUGAAGCCCCUCGUCACCAGUUCUGGGGCUGCAGAACAGAGAGUGACGACAGCCCAUGAGUCGUCAGCCGACGGCAGUGGGGACCCUGGUGACGGCUGCUUUGUUGUUUUUUUCCUCUUUGGAUGAUGACUCAGUAUGUCGGGAGCUGGGAGAUGGAGCGCUCAGCUGAGUGGCCGGGACGUUCUGUCAACAUGAAGGCAGCAAAAACAGCUUGUCAGGGCUUGGAGCCGACCCUGGGGCUGGGGUCAUUUUCAGGAAGGGGUUGGCAGAGAAGACCACUUCCGGGCAUCAGGUGGAUCAGGUGGGGGUGACACCAGGUAUCCCAAUGGGGCUCCGUGGACUCUUGAAUUUUAGAAACCAAACAGAAAACGCAGCUGCUUGUGUUAUUAUUAUUAUGCGCUUGGCAAACAGAGCCACUUUUCAAUCUCCUCUCACCCGUCCCCAACAACAGGCAUCUUCUCGGGGCCAGAAAACCCUCUGGGAUUUCUCACUGUGGCCUGUUGCCUUGGAUCGGUGAGUUCCAUGUCGGGUGGGGUGGGCCUGGCAGUCUUUAGUGAACCGUGGCAUUCCGGGGCCCCGGGAGUAAGUGCCCAUCAUGGGGAUGUGGCAUCUCAAGUGUCCUCUGCUGGCGUCACAUGAAAAUGGUGGGUCCACCCCACCAGCCUCAAGCUCAAGGCCAGCUCUUGGGCAGCCUGCCUUAGCCUGCCCUUUCCUUACUGUCCGACUUCUCUUCUCCUCUUUCAUCUUUCUCUGUUCCUUCUCAGGAGAAAUAGUGGGCCUCGCGUCCUUGACCCUUGCGCAUGUGUAUGUGCGUCAUCAUGGCGGCUCUGGGUUCUAGGCUUUUCUUGAAUCCGCAGCAUUGCGCUAAGUGCGCGUGACUUUCCCCCCUUGCCCCGCCCGCCCGGCCCCGCCCAACCGUGCCCAGCCGGGCCCAGCCAUGCCUUCUGCGGAGCAAGGGAGACCGGGACCGCCAUUGCCACCGAAUCGCAGGCAAGCCAUUCUCCUCAGCAUCUGGCUUCCCUUCCCUCCUGCUCUCUCCCCCUCGGCCGUGGCUGGGGACAGAGAAGCAAACGACUUGUGGGUGGGGAUCGAGGGAAGGCAUGGCCUAGGAACACCCUGCCUCUGUACCCCUUGUGCCGGUUUUCAGGCUCACGCUUUCCUGUAGAUGGUGCUUAGCGCUGCCAUUUGUCACUGAGCACCUUCUCCUCUCCCCAAGGACCUCCUGGCAUGACUCCUUUGGGAUCUUUACGGCGAAUGGUUUUGGGGCCUUGGGAGCCAGAGGGAGCAGGGAGACCUGGCCGAGGUCACAGUGGAGAGGUGUGCAGGGCAAAGGACAGGAGCCAUCUGUCCCUGCCCAGAGCACAGAGGCAGCCCCAGCCCCUUUGAGUCAUGUCUUUUUGAGCCUGAAUAGAGAGCAACUUGACCUAAAAAAAAAAAAAAAAUUGUAUGUAUGUGGAUGUUAGAUCCUUUGUGUCUCUGUCCAGAAGCUGUGCGUAUGAUGAGAACCCAGAUCCUGUACUUCAGAGAGCUCUGUUGUCCCUCAGAUUUGUUUUCCAAAAGAGGUGGUAGGCCCUCCUUGAUGAGGCCCAGUGCCUGCUGGGCCUGGCCUUCCUUCAGGACAAGGGUCCCAGCCUUGUCUGGUUUCUGCCAUUGGCGGGUGAGCAGCAGCUGAAGGCCUUGGUCCUAGGGCCACAUAUUAGCCCCAAACGGGACCCUGAUCGGGGCCUGCGCAAUUCAUUGCUUGGUUGGUUGGCCCUGAGAGCCGAGCCUCCUGUCUUUUUUUCGCUUCUUCCCCACAGAGAACUCAGAGGAGUUGAGCUCUGUCAGUAGGUGACGGCGUCGUGGAGACUCAGGUGGCUAAGCUGAGGACAGAGCUGGUGUGCAGAAGACAGCCAUCAUACGGCCAAAUAGAAUGGCCCGUUUGCAUUUAUUUGGAACAAAAAAAAGGAGAUGCCUGUCAGCCUGGCUCUCUGCAGUGCUGUGCAGCCACUGGGGUCUGUGGUUCUGUGACCCCGAGGGCUGGCCGAUGGGGACACCAUCCAGUCCUGUCAGUGAAUCAUCUUCAGGCCGCUUAUUGGAAACCAGAUGGUGCGAGAAAAUGGGGUUUAAGCCACGCCUCCCAGGUGACUCCUCCUCACUGCCAGGAGCCUCGAAACCAGCAUUCCGGGUGGCAGGAAGACCUCUGAGCUGGGCUUGGCUUCCGGCGCCCCUCCCCCGCGUCAGUCAUGUAAGUAGCCGGGACUCAGCACCCAGCCCGGGCGGGAGGGAGAAGCUGCUGCUGCCUCUCAGGAACCUUCCAGCGCUCUGGAUUUGAACACGUCGUGGUAGCACAGAACGAGGCAGCAGCAGCAGCUCCCCCGGGCUGUGUGUCUCUUGGCUCCGUGGGUUUGCUUACGGACCUCCUAAACCAGGAUUCCUCCUCUCCGCCCCGCUUUCCUCCCGUGUUAUUUUGCGGGCAUCGGGCCUGGCAUGGGAAUUUUAGGACUUUAAAAGACACGGAUAGCAUCAUUUCCAGAAUGCGGUAGAAGCUCUCUUUGCAAUCUCCAGACUGCUGUUUAAGCCAUGGCCCACGAGUUCUACUUAACCCUCAGAUGUUUUUGUUUGGCCUACACAGAGUUUUUGUUGAUUUUUUUUUUUUUUUAAUGUAUCUGAUUUGCAUGCCUUUAGACAAAAAGCCUCUCCAGGUCACUACUCCUGCCGCAUGUCGCUGCUUCUGUCCUGUUUCCUGUCCCAGCCCUGGAGCAUUUGAAUGCACUCAACACCAGGCCUCAUGAGCCCUCCUUCUUUUUAGAAGAACUGUGGUCCAUUCCAGGGAGGUGUAGGCCCCUGCUCUUGGGAGUCUGGGCUGAGCAGGAGUUAAAGCCUCUGAGUUCUGAUUCACUGUGUGGUGGCCUCUCCUCCACCUUCGGUCCCUGCCCAGGCAGAGGAGGGUCCUAGCAGGAGGGGGUGGUAGAAUGUCUGCAGAGAAAUGGAUGGGGGCCACAGUGUGCUUCCCAAACCCUUUUCCCGAACGGCGGCCCCUCCCAGAGCUGACAUACCCACCCCUCCGGCUGGCCGGUUUUCCUUUCCGGACAGCCCACCAAACCCUUCCCACUCGCCAGUUUGUAUGGGGCCAUUAGGCCAGGCAGGGAGGAUCACACCAUCCGCCUUUGACGGCCUAGCCCUUGCAGGCUGGGGCUUCCCCGGGCUGCCUUCUUACAGAUCGAGGUGGCCAUCAAGCUGCGUGCCAGGAAGCGCAGGCCCCUUCCAGCCCCCAUCCAACCCCCCAGCUACAUCCAGCUGGGGAGCAGGAACACCAGCUGGCUUCAGGUAAGUGAGUCAUUGCUUGGCAGACUUCGUGAGAGAAGCCUGGUUCUUUUGGGAGGGCUGAGACCUGCAUAGACUCUUGUAUCCAGUGGGGUUGUAGGGGCAAAAGGUCUUGGUACUAGGAUUACUUUCUUCCCCUCUUCUUGUGUUAGAGUGUUUGUGGUGCUGUGUUACGAAUGAUGUCUCUCUUCCUCCAGAGAACUGAGUAUGGUAGAACUCGGGUGCUGGGAGCCCGCACUCUGGGUCAUGGCCCUUAGUUCCCUCAGUGAUGGUUGCUCCUCUGCCAUGCCCCCCCGCCCCGAACUCUGGGCUGAUGCUCCCUGGGUAGCGGGAGAGACUGUCAUUAAUCACCCUGAUGACCACGUGAUGUACGUGCAUCCUGAAGGACAAGAACUAGGUGCUGUGACCCAAUCCCUGGCUCACCUGGGGAAGGCUUCAGGCGACCUGCAUUACCUGGGGGAGGGUUGACGGGUGGUAGUUCUGGGAGGGUGGACAGUCUGUUCCAGAAAGAGGGAGCAGUGUAUGCAAAAGCCUGCUGGGGAAGGAAGGGGGCCGUCUGGAUCACUGAAAGACACCUGUGUGACAACACGUUAGGAAAGGUUCUGUGGAUACUGGCAGUUGGAAGUUGCUAAGGAGGAAGAGUUCAGCUGGAGUCAAAUGCCCAAAAGCUGAGGAGGACCCAGUCAGUAUAGAGCCCCAAUCCCCUCAUUUUAUAGGAUCCUGUGAAAAUGACUAUCAUUUACCACUUCCUGACCAUACAACCCUGGAAGUUACCUGCUUCCCGGCGCCCAGCUGUUGACGGCAGGUGUCCUCGAUCAGAGCUGCUGCGCUGCCCUCCUGUCAGUGGCUGAGACUGUGCAAAGGCCCUGGGCUCCAAGCCCAGUGCUGGGGUCAGAAUCUGGAGUCCAGCACAGGCGUUGUGGGCGGGGUCCUCUCCAGCGCCUCCCCCCAACACAGCCAUGCUGUGGGUGUGGGAGGACGCAGCAGGCCACCUCAGACUAUCGGGCCCCCUGCAGAACCAGCUGGGCUCCUGUCUCAACCCAAGUUCAUCCUGUUGUCAGUCACAUUCACGGCCAUGCAGAAACAUUGCCUAGGACUACCUUGCCUCCCCCCGGCCCCAACCUUGCUCACAGUUGAGAUCAAGAACAGAAGGAGAUGAUAGACCAACCAUGGAGCAGGCACAGUGGGCCAAGGGGCAGGCACAGAGACUGUGGAGUUAGAUCUGGGAUCUGCACCGUGUAUUAGUCACGUGAUCGGGGGCAAGUUACUGAAGCAUGUUAAAGAGCAGUUUCUCCUGUAGGCAUGGGAAUAAUCCGUGCUUCCCGGGGCUGACACAAUUAAAGAGCACACUUCAGUGUUCAGAUUUUAUUUCCUCCUCUUUCCUGGAGAAGCGCAUGCUGUUAUUUCCAAGAGCCACAAUAUUUACAGGCCUGUGUCUGGAGGCCCACAGAGCUGGUAGCCUGAGAGGUACAGAUUCCACUCUGCCUCUCUUUCCAAGGUUAUGGUAUUCCGGGGACAUACACAUUUUCUCAGCUUCAGACAACCAAAAACGACCCAUUUAGGAGAUGGGAAAUCUAAUUUGAACACAGGAUGCAAAUCUUAUUUUCAGACAAAUUCUGAAAACAACACACAACUCAGUUCUCGUGUUAGAGGAUUAUCUACUUAACAUGGUUUUAGGACAUCACGUUUUUUUGUGUCACGGCCGAGGAUAAAUAAGGUUGCCAAUGUUCUGAGCCUUACGUAAGGCGGGAAAGGAGGAGCCUGAGCUCUUUUUUUUUUAAUUUUUUAUUGUUAAUCACCAUACAUUACAUACUUAGUUCUUGAUGUAGUGUUCCAUGAUUGUUUGUGCAUAACACCCAGUGCUCCACGCAGA